GUGGGGAAUAUUGGACAAUGGGCGAAAGCCUGAUCCAGCCAUGCCGCGUGUGUGAAGAAGGUCUUCGGAUUGUAAAGCACUUUAAGUUGGGAGGAAGGGCAGUAAGUUAAUACCUUGCUGUUUUGACGUUACCGACAGAAUAAGCACCGGCUAACUUCGUGCCAGCAGCCGCGGUAAUACGAAGGGUGCAAGCGUUAAUCGGAAUUACUGGGCGUAAAGCGCGCGUAGGUGGUUUUGUAAGUUGGAGGUGAAAUCCCCGGGCUCAACCUGGGAACUGCCUCCAAAACUGCAUGACUAGAGUACGGUAGAGGGUAGUGGAAUUUCCUGUGUAGCGGUGAAAUGCGUAGAUAUAGGAAGGAACACCAGUGGCGAAGGCGACUACCUGGACUGAUACUGACACUGAGGUGCAAAAGCGUGGGGAGCAAACAGGAUUAGAAACCCUUGUAGUCC
rnacentral:rRNA from 1 species